UACAGAGGGUGCGAGCGUUGUCCGGAAUUACUGGGCGUAAAGGGCGCGUAGGCGGCUUGGUAAGUCGGGGGGUGAAAGUCAGCGGCUCAACCGCUGGACUGCCUUCGAGACUGCCUGGCUUGAGCAUGGUAGAGGCUGGCGGAAUUCCCGGUGUAGCGGUGGAAUGCGUAGAUAUCGAGAGGAACACCAGAGGUGAAGACGGGGUUGCUGGGCCGACACUGACGCUGACAGCGCGAAAGCCAGGGGAGC
rnacentral:rRNA from 1 species